CUCCUACGGGGGCAGCAGUAGGGAAUCUUCCACAAUGGGCGAAAGCCUGAUGGAGCAACGCCGCGUGUGUGAUGAAGGGUUUCGGCUCGUAAAACACUGUUGUAAGAGAAGAAUGACAUUGAGAGUAACUGUUCAAUGUGUGACGGUAUCUUACCAGAAAGGAACGGCUAAAUACGUGCCAGCAGCCGCGGUAAUACGUAUGUUCCAAGCGUUAUCCGGAUUUAUUGGGCGUAAAGCGAGCGCAGACGGUUAUUUAAGUCUGAAGUGAAAGCCCUCAGCUCAACUGAGGAAUUGCUUUGGAAACU
rnacentral:rRNA from 1 species